GCCCACACAAAAAGUCUCACGCAUUUCAACGCCCAUCGAUGCUCGUCUCCGACUUCAUUGUUCUUGAGGACCUCGUCAUCGAGUAUUCCCAUUUGGGUUGGGAUUUUCAACGGAUGUAGCGCCUUCCGAUUUGCAGAUUUGCAGCGAACCUCCAGUUUGCGGAUUUGCUUGCAGCCAUUUCCGGAUUUGCAGAUUUUGCUAGGGCCCUUCCAGAUUUGUUAUUUCGAUUGUGAAGCUCUGAGAUUCUUCAAGUUAAGUAACUCUAGCAAAUUCUUCGUCUUGGUUGAUUGGUAGUGGAGACUUCAAGAUGAGCUUCUUACCAUUAUAGUGGAAGGCAUUUCUGUUCUCAUGCAUUCGAGUCACAAUGAAAUCAUCUUAAUUAGAAGAACCAAGGAGGACAUGGCCAAUCUUCAUAGGUAUGAUAUCACAUCAAACAUUAUCGAAACAGUUACCCAUUUGGAUAGAAACCAAAUAUCUUUCAUACAUGUAGGGUAGUGUUAUCAAUCCAAGACAAAUUAUUAAGGCUUUGGAUGAGGUUCUAGAUGAAGUUGCAUUCGAGUAACUUCAUUUCUAGAACCUUGUUCAUAGGACAUCUUCCAUCAAUGAUAAAUUUGCAUACAUUUCCACCACGUUUGAGGAAGGUGUGGAAAAUCUUGAAAUUGUGCCCAAAGUGUGCCAAAUGGCAUUCCUUUUUCCUAUAGUUUGUCACCAUGUUGUUGAAUUUAAGCAUAUAUAUGUUGCAGAUUUAUAUCACCAACAUUCUUUUUUAACAAAAUUUGCCCUCAAUUCUCAAUAAAAUCAUGCAAGCCCAUAAAUUUGACUUCUAUUUUUAAAAAACUUUCUCCAAGUCACCUUUAAUACUGAGUAUCACGUAGAAAUGAAACAAUCCUAUUCACAAGGCAUCAGCUCAUAUGUGCAAACAUGCUGAUGCAUGUCUUUGUUAAGAGCCAUCUGUAACAUUUUACCUGAUGUAUCAGAUGUAUUAGUUCUUGGCUGGUCUCUUGCUCAUGUGGUGGGACCAACUUCCUCUUGCUACAUAUUUAUUAUUAAAAUAAAAACAAAAGAUAAUGUUGGAUAACUUGUGUUACUUGUAAUUAUUCAACUAAGUUUGUUUCAAUAAUUUCCAAAUAUGUUGAUAACAUUUUCAUUAGUGGAUGUGUUGUUUAAAUGUGAUUUAAA